rnacentral:rRNA from 1 species
GUGGGGAAUAUUGGACAAUGGGGGGAACCCUGAUCCAGCCAUGCUGCGUGUGUGAAGAAGGCCUUUUGGUUGUAAAGCACUUUAAGCGAGGAGGAGGCUACCGAGAUUAAUACUCUUGGAUAGUGGACGUUACUCGCAGAAUAAGCACCGGCUAACUCUGUGCCAGCAGCCGCGGUAAUACAGAGGGUGCGAGCGUUAAUCGGAUUUACUGGGCGUAAAGCGUGCGUAGGCGGCUUUUUAAGUCGGAUGUGAAAUCCCCGAGCUUAACUUGGGAAUUGCAUUCGAUACUGGGAAGCUAGAGUAUGGGAGAGGAUGGUAGAAUUCCAGGUGUAGCGGUGAAAUGCGUAGAGAUCUGGAGGAAUGCCGAUGGCGAAGGCAGCCAUCUGGCCUAAUACUGACGCUGAGGUACGAAAGCAUGGGGAGCAAACAGGAUUAGAUACCCUAGUAGUCC